rnacentral:rRNA from 1 species
GGCGUAAAGAGCUCGUAGGCGGUUUGUCACGUCUGCUGUGAAAUUCCGAGGCUCAACCUCGGACUUGCAGUGGGUACGGGCAGGCUAGAGUGCGGUAGGGGAGAUGGGAAUUCCUGGUGUAGCGGUGGAAUGCGCAGAUAUCAGGAGGAACACCAAUGGCGAAGGCACAUCUCUGGGCCGUAACUGACGCUGAGGAGCGAAAGCGUGGGGAGCGAACAGGAUUAGAUACCCUGGUAGUCCACGCCGUAAACGGUGGGUGCUAGCUGUGGGCCACAUUCCACGUGGUCCGUGACGAAGUUAACACAUUAAGCACCCCGCCUGGGGAGUACGGCCGCAAGGCUAAAACUCAAAGGAAUUGACGGGGGCCCGCACAAGCGGCGGAGCAUGCGGAUUAAUUCGAUGCAACGCGAAGAACCUUACCAAGGCUUGACAUAUAGAGGAAAAGUGCAGAAAUGUACUCCCCGCAAGGUCUCUAUACAGGUGGCGCAUGGUUGUCGUCAGCUCGUGUCGUGAGAUGUUGGGUUAAGUCCCGCAACGAGCGCAACCCUCGUCCUAUGUUGCCAGCACGUAAUGGUGGGAACUCAUGGGAUACUGCCGGGGUCAACUCGGAGGAAGGU